UACGUAGGGUGCAAGCGUUGUCCGGAAUUAUUGGGCGUAAAGAGCUCGUAGGCGGUCUGUCGCGUCGGCUGUGAAAACUCGGGGCUCAACCCCGAGCCUGCAGUCGAUACGGGCAGACUAGAGUGCUGUAGGGGAGACUGGAAUUCCUGGUGUAGCGGUGAAAUGCGCAGAUAUCAGGAGGAACACCGGUGGCGAAGGCGGGUCUCUGGGCAGCAACUGACGCUGAGGAGCGAAAGCAUGGGGAGCGAACAGG
rnacentral:rRNA from 1 species